CUUAUUUGUGAUUUCGUGUAUAUGAUCCUUUGCAUUAUUAUCUAUUUUCAUUAUUUUAAUUUGGCUAUAAUGAUGUUUUGUGUUACCAGUUGGAGCUCAAUGGCGUUAAUGCACUUUUUAUCGUUCUUAUGGCGGUCCUGAUCCCAUCGAGUCUGAGAGUAUUGAGUCAGAUGUAGGUGUGGAUGCCAUGGAGACUCAGAUAACAGAGUCAGAUGAAGGUCGUUAUCCAAUUGUGUCAGAGACUAGUGAAGCAGUUACAUGUAACUCUGAGACGGAGACUCUUCUCGGGAACCAAACUCGGCCUGCAGCAUCUAGUGGAAAACCGGGAAGAAAAGUACCUUGGUCAAAAAGCACAGAGGAAUGUUUGAGGAAAGCCUUCAAAAGUUACCUCACCCGAUCUGCGACAAGUGCCCAUAACGCAGACAUAAUCCUUGCUCAGAACACAAGUCUUGAACUGUCUGAAAGAACAUUGGCUCAAAUAAGAUCGAAAUUAAACAACAUGAAGUUGGGAAAAUCAAAAUGAUCUAUUGUUGUACAGAGGAACUAGAAACAUGUUUUAAACUGUAGAUGAUGUUUGCAAAUUUUGCCAAAUAAUACUGUAUAUCAAACAUUUAAUAUUUUUCGAUGAUGAUUUCAAAGUACUCCUGAAUGUGUAUUAUUCAUUUUAGUUAAAUUUGUAAAGAGAUGCAUGC